GAUUAUGGCUCAGGAUUAACGCUGGCGGCAUGCCUAAUACAUGCAAGUCGAAUGGGGAGCUUGCUUCCCAUGGCGAACGGGUGAGUAAUACGUAGGUAACCUACCUUUAGGACGAGGAUAACCUUUGGAAACGAAGGAUAAUACUGGAUAGUAUAGAUUUCCGCAUGGAGAUAUAUUUAAAGAUUUAUCACCUAGAGAGGGGCCUGCGGUGCAUUAGCUAGUUGGCGGGAUAAAGCCCACCAAGGCGAUGAUGCAUAGCCGGACUGAGAGGUUGUACGGCCACAAUGGAACUGAGAACGGUCCAUACUCCUACGGGAGGCAGCAGUAGGGAAUUUUCGGCAAUGGGCGGAAGCCUGACCGAGCAAAUGCCGCGUGAAUGAUGAAGUAUUUCGGUAUGUAAAGUUCUUUUAUCUAGGAAGAAAAAACAAAUUGACGGUACUAGAUGAAUAAGCUCCGGCUAACUACGUGCCAGCCGCAGC
rnacentral:rRNA from 1 species